CGAUGAUUUUGUAUUACGCUUCAUGUUACAGGAUAGUAUUUACUUUGGGAAAAGAAAAAUACACUUUUGCGAAACGACCCUUAACGGUGAAACAGAUUCAACUCCGGACUGAAUGCCCAUGGAGAAUACGAGGGGAGCUUAGGAAUUCAUGCGAUAGUUGAUUCAAUCAAAGAAGGGAUCGAAGAUGUUUCUAAUUUCCCAACGAUCAAAGUUUUUCAAAGUGACGGCUGUUGGUGGACCUUGAAUAAUCGACGAUUGUACAUGUUUCGUGUUUUGGAAUAUGAAGGCUACAUUGAACGUAUCAAUGUUGAACUUGUGAAUAGCCGGAAUCAUGCCCGAUACUAUGAUGGAAAACGAGUGAAAUUUGUUGAUCCCAUUUGCACAAGAAAUCACUGCUUUCCAGAAAACGAUAUUUCACUUGAUAAGGAAAGUCAAGACUGUUCUUGUUCUUGCUUACUUUAUGGUUUUGGGUGUUGUGUUGCAGGGGUAUUUUCCAUGUUUUGUCUGGUCUAUGUAUAUAUUUAGAUGAAAGUUAGCAAUCCACUAAUGACUGGGAUGAAUUCGACUGACUCAAACUUUAUUAUCAGUCAUUCCGUAAAUCUAUAUGUACGGUUCGUUAUUCAAGAUUAUGGAAAGUUAGGAGUUAUUCUGAGAUGUCGCUAUAUCAAUUAAUUUUUCUGUUAUUUAUCGUUAUUUUCGGAUUUUCAAAAUUAAGUUUAAAUUAUAAGCUAUUAUUCAACAAAGCAACAUUCAAGCAAAAUGUCAAAAUUACCAGAUGGAAUAUUUUUAAGGCCGCGGGACAUUCGUUUUACGAAGAAAUACAUAUCUUCAAUGUCUGAAUCAGACAUACACGAGGCUAUUAAUUUAGUCAAAUCAGAUCACGAAUGCGUUUUCAAAUUUCCAAUGAUUGAAGUAUUUCAAGAUGGUGACUGUUGGUGGAGUUCAAACAAUCGGAGAUUGUACAUGUUUCGUGUUUUAGAAUAUGAAGGAUUCAUCAAACGCAUUAAAGUCAGAAUAGUAAAUGCUCGAUAUCAUCCACCAGACUACGACGGGAAACAAGUUCAGUUUCAGGAUUCAAACAGAACUCGAAGUCAUUCAUUUGGAUACCGUGGCCGGACUGUCCAAUUUAUUUAUGGAUUAUUCUGCCUUUUAUUUGGAAUGUGUUGCAUGUAUUUUAUUAUGCUCGCGCUCGCGUUAUCUCGGGGAUUUCCAGAUUUUGAUGCAUAGAUGAAAUUACAUUUUGUGCCUUUCAUUUCCUCUAAAAGCGUUGAUAAAAUAAAACUGAGUAGACAGAAACCGUACCCACCUACAUCAUUUUCAAAAGUUUCCCAUUUGUAUUUUUUUUUAGUUUGCUUGUACUAAUGGGACCUUCACUGUUAUCUAUUUUCUAUUUUCGAAACAAUUCUCCAAACAUUGAGGAUACUUCCUUAUCUGUAUUUUCUAGGUCGCGAGAACGGGUUUUUACAAGUUCUCCUGAAGAUCGUCCUGGCGGAAUUGGUCAUGUUGUGCUAGUGACAUAAAUAAAAUCAAAAUGAAAAAAUGUUAAUUUUUUUUUCAGAUAUAUUACAAAAGCUAUCAAGGCAAGCUCAUUGAUUUUCUUUCAAUAAAUUUACCAUGAACAAGGCUCUUGCAUGCAUUUGCCGAUUUUAGAACUUUUUGAAUAAGCUUUGAAUGAAGUGACAAAACUUCUAUUUCGCGGUUACAGAUGGCAUAGUAAUUGUAAUAAAUUUGAAACUAAUGCAAAAAA